rnacentral:lncRNA from 1 species
AAUUGAUAAUAAUAUUAUUAUUAUUAAAAAGUAAUCUAAUAAAAAUAUUAUAUAAAUAUUAUUUAUUCUUUCUUUUAUUCUUAUUAUACCAAAUAUAGAGAAGAGGAGAUUAUUUCCAUCCUUCCUUCCAUAUUAAUUUAGACAUAUGAAAAAAUAGAUGAAAGAUCCAUCCAUCCUUCAUCUUCUAUCUAUCUUUCAUUCAAUCUAUCUUUUGUACUGAAUCGAAGGUUAAGGUUCAUUGUAGAUCCAAUUUGACUAUGAGAAAUAGAUGAGUGCGCCUACUUUUUCAAUAUGUCCCAUUCAAAAUCUGGCUACUGAUAUGAUUCCAACCCAAGUCCUUAGUGUUAUCUUUCAUAGAUUUUCUUUAUUUGCAUUAGUGGCACCCUCCUACCUUGCGAUGAUUUUCUACCAAUUAUUGCGCAGGAAUUGCAUAAAUUUCUAUCUAAUUUCUUAGUCAAUAUGUAUUUUCGCUUUCCACUUCUUUUAUUUUGGAAAAACUAUAUUAAACCUGGAUAUGUGCUUCUAUUUGGAAAUUGGUAGUAUAUUUGCAUAUAGCGAUGACAGUGUGUCAGGCCUAAUCGAGUUUGCUACUAAUUUACUCAAAUAAACUUUACUCUCAACAACCAAGUCAGGUCAAAGUUCUGACCCAUUCCUGAUCUAUUUAAACUCCAGCUCAAAAAAUUUGACCUGAAUCUCAGUCGCACUGAACAAUUCAAGCACGGCGGAAGGUGGAUUCUUGGUCAAGUCAAUCUUAACAGCUGAUAGCAAUAAAAGUAGCAAAAAGAGGAGAAAUGGUAUAUGUAUAUGUGUAUACAUACAUACAUAUAUAUGUAUACCUAUAAGACUUUACUCUAGAGGCGAAACAGACAUGAAUACUGUUUCACUUGGGACCUUUCCCUCAAUCUUUGUUCAUUGCUUCCUACUUCUAUAUUUGUCUGUGUCAUCCGAUUAUCCAUCCAUACCUUGCGAUGGAAACUAUAAAUCCUUGUUCCUUGCUUCCUACUCGCAUGGUUCUUUGAAUUGUCCUUCUCCAUUCAUUUUUCGUAUAUAGCAGCUAUUAUAAGUCUUUAUUUUCCCCCUCUCCUUUUUCGGUUCAUGAUGUCCUUCUCCAUUCAUAUGCCAUGGAGGCAACCAUAUCAUGGGAACCACAUCCUUUAUGCCUCACUGACCAAAAUUACUUUAAGAUCGGUACGGUUUGAGUUUAUGCUGAAACUAACUUAAUGCAAGUCUGCAUACGGGUUGAUUAAAUGCUCGAACUAUUAGAAUUUUUUAUUCUCCAAAUAAGAGUGGAUUUCUUAUUUCAAAAUCAUUUCAAUGUAUUUAUCUAAAUAUUUAAGGGACUCCUGACCGUAGGACAGCAAGGAGAAAGAUAGGUAGCCUCCUGCAUGGAUGGAUGGAGAGAGAGAAUGACCGAUUCUGAGGAGCCUUCAACUUAAUUUGUAAUCAUUGUGUGCACAGUGGUAUCUCUUUAUCAUUUACCAAAAAAAUUCAUUUCGGUCCAAUGCCGGUAAAAGAGUGAUUCAUUACUAAAGUUUCAUGUAUUGCUCAAAAAUUUUGAAUAAAAUUGCAUGUCUUGGCC